rnacentral:rRNA from 1 species
UUAAGGGCGCACGGUGGAUGCCUUGGCACUAGAAGCCGAUGAAGGACGUUACUAACGACGAUAUGCUUUGGGGAGCUGUAAGUAAGCUUUGAUCCAGAGAUUUCCGAAUGGGGAAACCCAGCAUGAGUUAUGUCAUGUUAUCGAUAUGUGAAUACAUAGCAUAUCAGAAGGCACACCCGGAGAACUGAAACAUCUUAGUACCCGGAGGAAGAGAAAGAAAAUUCGAUUCCCUUAGUAGCGGCGAGCGAAACGGGAAGAGCCCAAACCAACAAGCUUGCUUGUUGGGGUUGUAGGACACUCUAUACGGAGUUACAAAGGACGACAUUAGACGAAUCAUCUGGAAAGAUGAAUCAAAGAAGGUAAUAAUCCUGUAGUCGAAAAUGUUGUCUCUCUUGAGUGGAUCCUGAGUACGACGGAGCACGUGAAAUUCCGUCGGAAUCUGGGAGGACCAUCUCCUAAGGCUAAAUACUCUCUAGUGACCGAUAGUGAACCAGUACCGUGAGGGAAAGGUGAAAAGCACCCCGGAAGGGGAGUGAAAUAGAACCUGAAACCGUGUGCUUACAAGUAGUCAGAGCCCGUUAAUGGGUGAUGGCGUGCCUUUUGUAGAAUGAACCGGCGAGUUACGAUUUGAUGCAAGGUUAAGCAGUAAAUGUGGAGCCGUAGCGAAAGCGAGUCUGAAUAGGGCGUUUAGUAUUUGGUCGUAGACCCGAAACCAGGUGAUCUACCCUUGGUCAGGUUGAAGUUCAGGUAACACUGAAUGGAGGACCGAACCGACUUACGUUGAAAAGUGAGCGGAUGAACUGAGGGUAGCGGAGAAAUUCCAAUCGAACCUGGAGAUAGCUGGUUCUCUCCGAAAUAGCUUUAGGGCUAGCCUCAAGUGAUGAUUAUUGGAGGUAGAGCACUGUUUGGACGAGGGGCCCCUCUCGGGUUACCGAAUUCAGACAAACUCCGAAUGCCAAUUAAUUUAACUUGGGAGUCAGAACAUGGGUGAUAAGGUCCGUGUUCGAAAGGGAAACAGCCCAGACCACCAGCUAAGGUCCCAAAAUAUAUGUUAAGUGGAAAAGGAUGUGGCGUUGCCCAGACAACUAGGAUGUUGGCUUAGAAGCAGCCAUCAUUUAAAGAGUGCGUAAUAGCUCACUAGUCGAGUGACACUGCGCCGAAAAUGUACCGGGGCUAAACAUAUUACCGAAGCUGUGGAUUGUCCUUUGGACAAUGGUAGGAGAGCGUUCUAAGGGCGUUGAAGCAUGAUCGUAAGGACAUGUGGAGCGCUUAGAAGUGAGAAUGCCGGUGUGAGUAGCGAAAGACGGGUGAGAAUCCCGUCCACCGAUUGACUAAGGUUUCCAGAGGAAGGCUCGUCCGCUCUGGGUUAGUCGGGUCCUAAGCUGAGGCCGACAGGCGUAGGCGAUGGAUAACAGGUUGAUAUUCCUGUACCACCUAUAAUCGUUUUAAUCGAUGGGGGGACGCAGUAGGAUAGGCGAAGCGUGCGAUUGGAUUGCACGUCUAAGCAGUAAGGCUGAGUAUUAGGCAAAUCCGGUACUCGUUAAGGCUGAGCUGUGAUGGGGAGAAGACAUAUGUCUUCGAGUCGUUGAUUUCACACUGCCGAGAAAAGCCUCUAGAUAGAAAAUAGGUGCCCGUACCGCAAACCGACACAGGUAGUCAAGAUGAGAAUUCUAAGGUGAGCGAGCGAACUCUCGUUAAGGAACUCGGCAAAAUGACCCCGUAACUUCGGGAGAAGGGGUGCUCUUUAGGGUUAACGCCCAGAAGAGCCGCAGUGAAUAGGCCCAAGCGACUGUUUAUCAAAAACACAGGUCUCUGCUAAACCGUAAGGUGAUGUAUAGGGGCUGACGCCUGCCCGGUGCUGGAAGGUUAAGAGGAGUGGUUAGCUUCUGCGAAGCUACGAAUCGAAGCCCCAGUAAACGGCGGCCGUAACUAUAACGGUCCUAAGGUAGCGAAAUUCCUUGUCGGGUAAGUUCCGACCCGCACGAAAGGCGUAACGAUUUGGGCACUGUCUCAACGAGAGACUCGGUGAAAUCAUAGUACCUGUGAAGAUGCAGGUUACCCGCGACAGGACGGAAAGACCCCGUGGAGCUUUACUGUAGCCUGAUAUUGAAAUUCGGCACAGCUUGUACAGGAUAGGUAGGAGCCUUUGAAACGUGAGCGCUAGCUUACGUGGAGGCGCUGGUGGGAUACUACCCUAGCUGUGUUGGCUUUCUAACCCGCACCACUUAUCGUGGUGGGAGACAGUGUCAGGCGGGCAGUUUGACUGGGGCGGUCGCCUCCUAAAAGGUAACGGAGGCGCUCAAAGGUUCCCUCAGAAUGGUUGGAAAUCAUUCAUAGAGUGUAAAGGCAUAAGGGAGCUUGACUGCGAGACCUACAAGUCGAGCAGGGUCGAAAGACGGACUUAGUGAUCCGGUGGUUCCGCAUGGAAGGGCCAUCGCUCAACGGAUAAAAGCUACCCCGGGGAUAACAGGCUUAUCUCCCCCAAGAGUUCACAUCGACGGGGAGGUUUGGCACCUCGAUGUCGGCUCAUCGCAUCCUGGGGCUGUAGUCGGUCCCAAGGGUUGGGCUGUUCGCCCAUUAAAGCGGUACGCGAGCUGGGUUCAGAACGUCGUGAGACAGUUCGGUCCCUAUCCGUCGUGGGCGUAGGAAAUUUGAGAGGAGCUGUCCUUAGUACGAGAGGACCGGGAUGGACAUACCUCUGGUGUACCAGUUGUCGUGCCAACGGCAUAGCUGGGUAGCUAUGUGUGGACGGGAUAAGUGCUGAAAGCAUCUAAGCAUGAAGCCCCCCUCAAGAUGAGAUUUCCCAACUUCGGUUAUAAGAUCCCUCAAAGAUGAUGAGGUUAAUAGGUUCGAGGUGGAAGCAUGGUGACAUGUGGAGCUGACGAAUACUAAUCGAUCGAAGACUUAAUC